ACGAGUUUGAUGUGAAGUAUAUUCAUUAUCUCUCUUGUGAGCUUUUAUUCACUGUAGAUUUGAACACUUUUAGGUCAAGAAAACUUUCUGAAGGAACUCUCCAGAACCUGAAAUCAAUCCACCCACCAGCAGCUUUGAUCGAAUUUGUGAAGAAAAUGUUCAGACUGGAAGCAGAAAGAUACACGAACUUUAGAGGAUGAAAUAAAGAUGACAACAGCUUCCAACACACAUAAAAUGUUUCUGCAGCUCCACCCGAACACUCCUGGAACAGACGACACAACAGCCAUGAAACACGGACUUCAUGGAGUCACCUUUGAGCUUCUUCAGAGCCUCGGUGCUGAAGAUGUCCACCCUCAU